rnacentral:tRNA from 1 species
GGAGGCGUGCGUGAGCGGUUUAAACGAGCGGUCUUGAAAACCGCCAUGGUGAAAGCCAUCGUGAGUUCGAAUCUCACCGCCUCCG